rnacentral:rRNA from 1 species
UGGGGAAUAUUGGACAAUGGGCGCAAGCCUGAUCCAGCCAUGCCGCGUGAGUGAUGAAGGCCCUAGGGUUGUAAAGCUCUUUCACCGGUGAAGAUAAUGACGGUAACCGGAGAAGAAGCCCCGGCUAACUUCGUGCCAGCAGCCGCGGUAAUACGAAGGGGGCUAGCGUUGUUCGGAAUUACUGGGCGUAAAGCGCACGUAGGCGGACAUUUAAGUCAGGGGUGAAAUCCCGGGGCUCAACCCCGGAACUGCCUUUGAUACUGGGUGUCUUGAGUUCGAGAGAGGUGAGUGGAAUUCCGAGUGUAGAGGUGAAAUUCGUAGAUAUUCGGAGGAACACCAGUGGCGAAGGCGGCUCACUGGCUCGAUACUGACGCUGAGGUGCGAAAGCGUGGGGAGCAAACA